rnacentral:rRNA from 1 species
UACGUGGGGGGCAAGCGUUAUCCGGAUUUACUGGGUGUAAAGGGGGCGCAGACGGCGAUGCAAGCCAGGAGUGAAAGCCCGGGGCCCAACCCCGGGACUGCUCUUGGAACUGCGUGGCUGGAGUGCAGGAGGGGCAGGCGGAAUUCCUGGUGUAGCGGUGAAAUGCGUAGAUAUCAGGAGGAACACCGGUGGCGAAGGCGGCCUGCUGGACUGCAACUGACGUUGAGGCCCGAAAGCGUGGGGAGCAAACAGG